rnacentral:rRNA from 1 species
GACGAACGCUGGCGGCGUGCUUAACACAUGCAAGUCGUACGAUGACCCGGCUCUUCGGAGCUGGAGAUUAGUGGCGAACGGGUGAGUAACACGUGGGUGACCUGCCCUGCACUCUGGGAUAAGCCCGGGAAACUGGGUCUAAUACUGGAUACGACCAGUGGCCGCAUGGUCUGCUGGUGGAAAGCCCUUCGGGGUGGUGUGGGAUGGGCCCGCGGCCUAUCAGCUUGUUGGUGGGGUGAUGGCCUACCAAGGCGACGACGGGUAGCCGGCCUGAGAGGGUGUCCGGCCACACUGGGACUGAGACACGGCCCAGACUCCUACGGGAGGCAGCAGUGGGGAAUCUUGCACAAUGGGCGAAAGCCUGAUGCAGCGACGCCGCGUGAGGGAUGACGGCCUUCGGGUUGUAAACCUCUUUCGGCAGGGAACAAGCCUGGGGGUUUUCUUCUGGGUGAGGGUACCUGCGGAAGAAGCACCGGCUAACUACGUG